CAACAACUGAAAGGAGGUGAUCCAGUGUCUCAUUGUCUGAAGCCGGCUGCCGCCGUGACCUGGAUGACCACCGUCGGACGCCCUCUGACGCACUGAACGGUCCUCCGGCCGUUGGCUCAAACAAUGCGAAGGCCCCGGUAACAAUCGGGGCCUU
rnacentral:sRNA from 1 species